rnacentral:rRNA from 1 species
UGCCAGCCGCCGCGGUAAUACGGAGGGAGCGAGCGUUAAUCGGAAUCACUGGGCAUAAAGCGCGCGUAGGCGGCGCUGUCAGUGUGAAGUGAAAGCCCACGGCUCAACCGUGGAAUUGCUUUGCAUACUGCAGUGCUAGAGGACGGUAGGGGAGAGCGGAACUCCUGGUGGAGCGGUGAAAUGCGUAGAUAUCAGGAGGAACACCGGUGGCGAAGGCGGCUCUCUGGUCCGUUUCUGACGCUGAGGUGCGAAAGCCAGGGUAGCGAACGGGAUUAGAUA